UACGUAGGGUGCUAGCGUUGUUCGGAAUCAUUGGGCGUAAAGCGCGUGCAGGUGGCAAGUUAAGUUGGAUGUGAAAUCCCUAGGCUCAACCAAGGAAGUGCAUUCAAAACUAACUAGCUUGAAGAUGGUAGAGGAAGGUGGAAUUCCAGGUGGAGAGGUGAAAUUCGUAGAGAUCUGGAGGAAUAUCGGAGGCGAAGGCGACCUUCUGGGCCAUUCUUGACACUGAGACGCGAAAGCGUGGGUAGCAAACAGG
rnacentral:rRNA from 1 species